AUUCCAUGAUAAGGGCACUUUCGCAAUAAUUCUUUGUACCUUUCGCAUGCCUCAGACAAGGACUCAUCAUCCAUUUAUUGGAAAGUAGUGAUCUCGUUCCUCAACUU
rnacentral:snoRNA from 1 species